rnacentral:rRNA from 1 species
GAUCAUGGCUCAGGAUGAACGCUGGCUACAGGCUUAACACAUGCAAGUCGAGGGGAAACGACGGGGAAGCUUGCUUCCUCGGGCGUCGACCGGCGCACGGGUGAGUAACGCGUAUCCAACCUGCCUCUGACUGAGGGAUAACCCGUCGAAAGUCGGCCUAAUACCUCAUGGCAUCGUCUGCGGGCAUCCAACGACGAUUAAAGAUUUCAUCGGUCAGGGAUGGGGACGCGUCUGAUUAGCUGGG